rnacentral:rRNA from 1 species
AUUGAACGCUGGCGGAAUGCUUUACACAUGCAAGUCGAGCGGCAGCGCGGGGGCAACCCUGGCGGCGAGCGGCGAACGAGUGAGUAACAUAUCGGAACGUACCCAGUCGUGGGGGAUAACUAUCCGAAAGGAUAGCUAAUACCGCAUACGUCCUGAGGGAGAAAGCGGGGGAUCGCAAGACCUCGCGCGAUUGGAGCGGCUGAUAUCAGAUUAGGUAGUUGGUGGGGUAAAAGCCUACCAAGCCUUCGAUCUGUAGCUGGUCUGAGAGGACGACCAGCCACACUGGAACUGAGACACGGUCCAGACUCCUACGGGAGGCAGCAGUGGGGGAAUUUUGGACAAUGGGCGCAAGCCUGAUCCAGCAAUGCCGCGUGCAGGAUGAAGGCCUGGUUGUAACUAGCUUUGUUACGGAACGAAACGGUUCUCUCUAAUACA